rnacentral:rRNA from 1 species
CAGCCGCCGCGGUAAUACGUAGGUGGCAAGCGUUGUCCGGAAUUAUUGGGCGUAAAGGGCUCGCAGGCGGUUUCUUAAGUCUGAUGUGAAAGCCCCCGGCCCAACCGGGGAGGGUCAUUGGAAACUGGGAAACUUGAGUGCAGAAGAGGAGAGUGGAAUUCCACGUGUAGCGGUGAAAUGCGUAGAGAUGUGGAGGAACACCAGUGGCGAAGGCGACUCUCUGGUCUGUAACUGACGCUGAGGAGCGAAAGCGUGGGGAGCGAACAGGAUUAGAUACCCCUGUAGUCCCUGUCUCUUAUAC